GACGAACGCUGGCGGCGUGCCUAAUACAUGCAAGUUGAGCGCUGAAGGUUGGUACUUGUACCGACUGGAUGAGCAGCGAACGGGUGAGUAACGCGUGGGGAAUCUGCCUUUGAGCGGGGGACAACAUUUGGAAACGAAUGCUAAUACCGCAUAAAAACUUUAAACACAAGUUUUAAGUUUGAAAGAUGCAAUUGCAUCACUCAAAGAUGAUCCCGCGUUGUAUUAGCUAGUUGGUGAGGUAAAGGCUCACCAAGGCGAUGAUACAUAGCCGACCUGAGAGGGUGAUCGGCCACAUUGGGACUGAGACACGGCCCAAACUCCUACGGGAGGCAGCAGUAGGGAAUCUUCGGCAAUGGACGAAAGUCUGACCGAGCAACGCCGCGUGAGUGAAGAAGGUUUUCGGAUCGUAAAACUCUGUUGGUAGAGAAGAACGUUGGUGAGAGUGGAAAGCUCAUCAAGUGACGGUAACUACCCAGAAAGGGACGGCUAACUACGUGCCAGCAGCCGCGGUAAUACGUAGGUCCCGAGCGUUGUCCGGAUUUAUUGGGCGUAAAGCGAGCGCAGGUGGUUUAUUAAGUCUGGUGUAAAAGGCAGUGGCUCAACCAUUGUAUGCAUUGGAAACUGGUAGACUUGAGUGCAGGAGAGGAGAGUGGAAUUCCAUGUGUAGCGGUGAAAUGCGUAGAUAUAUGGAGGAACACCGGUGGCGAAAGCGGCUCUCUGGCCUGUAACUGACACUGAGGCUCGAAAGCGUGGGGAGCAAACAGGAUUAGAUACCCUGGUAGUCCACGCCGUAAACGAUGAGUGCUAGAUGUAGGGAGCUAUAAGUUCUCUGUAUCGCAGCUAACGCAAUAAGCACUCCGCCUGGG
rnacentral:rRNA from 1 species